rnacentral:tRNA from 1 species
GCCGGAGUGGUGAAAUUGGUAGACGCAGAGGACUCAAAAUCCGCCGAUCGCAAGAUCAUGCCGUUUCAAGUCCGGCAUCCGGCACCA